CAAGGGAAAAUUGGUGGAUUUCAAGUAAUCAAGCAAUCAAAGGUGGUGAGUCCUCCGACAAGGGCAAGGAAAUUAUACUCGAGGAUCGAUAAUUGGAGUACUAUAGAAAUUCGACUCCUGAAAUAGCUCAGAAUAGACUGUACAUAGUUGAUCACAUCAAGGACUACCAUUGGAAUUGCAUUUUCCAAACUUUCAUUUUUAAAUUGCUCGGAAGGUUUUCGCAGUUAAGCAAUGGUGUUACUUCCAAAGGUGGCAUUUGUUCUCAACUUGUAAAGUUAGCUAAAAAUUUCAAAGUCAUCAUAUGAUUGGAAUUAAAACUUGUUUCAUUUUAGGAAUGGAGAUGGAGACUUCUCAAAAAAACCCUAUGUUUGCACCCAACCUAGGACAAAUAUUAUUCUUUGUCAAGGAUGCCUGUCUUGGCAAGGUUUUAAGGCAUGAUAAGAUCCAAAUUUAUCACUCUAUUUAAGGUGAUGGAUAAAAUUUACCACCCAUCGUGAUUUUACUAUUUUACUUUUUAAUUUGAUUCAACAAUAGUCAAAAGGUAGAAUGUUGCUUUUUGUCUUAUUAAUUGUUAUAAACAGGCGAAGAAUAGAAAAGGGUUUUAUGUCUCUUCAUCUUAA